AUCUUGUUAUGUGUUUAAAUUCAUACCUGAUAUUGAAAGACCCCCUAAGGGAGACCCUCACUCAAAUCUCGGGAAGGCGCAUACCCAGUGAGACGCUGAGACUG
rnacentral:pre_miRNA from 7 species